GACGAACGCUGGCGGCGUGCUUAACACAUGCAAGUCGAACGGUAAGGCCCUUCGGGGUACACGAGUGGCGAACGGGUGAGUAACACGUGGGUGAUCUGCCCUGCACUUCGGGAUAAGCCUGGGAAACUGGGUCUAAUACUGGAGAGGACCACUGCCUGCAGGGGGGGUGGGGGAAAGCGUUUGCGGUGUGGGAUGGGCCCGCGGCCGAUCAGCUUGUUGGUGGGGUGAUGGCCUACCAAGGCGACGACGGGUAGCCGGCCUGAGAGGGUGACCGGCCACACUGGGACUGAGAUACGGCCCAGACUCCUACGGGAGGCAGCAGUGGGGAAUAUUGCACAAUGGGCGCAAGCCUGAUGCAGCGACGCCGCGUGAGGGAUGACGGCCUUCGGGUUGUAAACCUCUUUCAGCACCGACGAAGCGCAAGUGACGGUAGGUGCAGAAGAAGGACCGGCCAACUACGUGCCAGCAGCCGCCGUAA
rnacentral:rRNA from 1 species